rnacentral:rRNA from 1 species
UCGCCUGUUUAUCAAAAACAUUGUCUUUGGAAAUUAUUAGAGAUAAAACCUGCUCAGUGAAUUUUUAACAGCCUUUUUUAAGCUAAGGUAGCAUAAUAAUUUGUCUUUUAAUUGAAGGCUUGUAUGAAAGGUUAAACGAGAUAAAAACUUUCUUAAUUAUCAAAAUUUAAUUUUCCUUUUAAGUUAAAAGGCUUAAAUAAUAUUAAAGGACGACAAGACCCUAUAGAACUUAAAUUUUUAAAAAAAUAAAAAAAAGAAAAAUUUUACUGGGGAAGUAAAAAAACAAAACUUUUUUUUAAAAAAAACUUUUAAAAGAUUAUAAGACCCUUAAAAAAGAAAAAAGAAUAAGUUACCUUAGGGAUAACAGAGUUAAAUUUUUUGAGAGACCAAAUCGAAAAAAAAUAUUGCUACCUCGAUGUUGAAUUAAGAUAAAUACUAAUAGAAAAAAAUUAGUUUAUUAGGUCUGUUCGACCUUACAAUCUUACAUGAUCUGAGCUCAAACCGGAGAG